AUUGAACGCUGGCGGCAUGCCUUACACAUGCAAGUCGAACGGUAACGCGGGGCAACCUGGCGACGAGUGGCGAACGGGUGAGUAAUGCAUCGGAACGUGCCCAGUAGUGGGGGAUAGCCCGGCGAAAGCCGGAUUAAUACCGCAUACGACCUACGGGUGAAAGGGGGGGAUCGCAAGACCUCUCGCUAUUGGAGCGGCCGAUGUCAGAUUAGGUAGUUGGUGGGGUAAAGGCCUACCAAGCCGACGAUCUGUAGCUGGUCUGAGAGGACGACCAGCCACACUGGGAAUGAGACACGGCCCGGACUCCUACGGGAGGCAGCAGUGGGGAAUUUUGGACAAUGGGCGCAAGCCUGAUCCAGCCAUGCCGCGUGCGGGAAGAAGGCCUUCGGGUUGUAAACCGCUUUUGUCAGGGAAGAAAUCUUCUGGGUUAAUACCUCGGGAGGAUGACGGUACCUGAAGAAUAAGCACCGGCUAACUACGUGCCAGCAGCCGCCGUAACAC
rnacentral:rRNA from 1 species